GACGAACCUUGCUAACGUUAUUCGGAAUUACUGGGCUUAAAGGGUGCGUAGGCGGCCCGGUAAGUCAGUGGUGAAAGCCUCCAGCUCAACUGGAGAACUGCCAUUGAUACUGCCGGGCUUGAGUACAGACGAGGUUGGCGGAAUUGAUUGUGUAGCGGUGAAAUGCAUAGAUACAAUCAAGAACUCCGAUUGCGUAGGCAGCUAACUAGGCUGUAACUGACACUGAGGCACGAAAGCGUGGGGAGCGAACAGG
rnacentral:rRNA from 1 species